rnacentral:rRNA from 1 species
UACGGAGGGGGCUGGCGUUGUUCGGAAUUACUGGGCGUAAAGCGCGCGUAGGCGGAUCUGCAAGUCGGGGGUGAAAUCCCGAGGCUCAACCUCGGAACUGCCUUCGAUACUGCGGGUCUCGAGUCCGGGAGAGGUGAGUGGAAUUCCUAGUGUAGAGGUGAAAUUCGUAGAUAUUAGGAAGAACACCAGUGGCGAAGGCGGGUCUCUGGGGCGGUACUGACGCUGAGACGCGAAAGCGUGGGGAGCAAACAGG